GCUCUCGAACCAGCCCCUGUGCCACAGCAACGACUACACGCCUGGUGAUCGGCCCCUCCCUCCACCUCCCAUCCGCUACUGCCCUCACAGGCCGCCUCAAAAGGGUCGCCCCUCACACGGACGAGGGAGUCGGCACGCCAGGAGGUCACAGUUCGGCCCUUAAGGUCAGCCAGGAGGAAUCGCUCGUCGGAGAUUUGACCCCUUCCCCAACCCGCCGCCUCUCUCCAUCCACCCUCGCCGACCCUCCCGGCUUCCCGUCUCCCUUCGCAGGGACACCGCACGGGCACUGGGCCUUCGCUCGAUGUUGGCCCCCCAACGCUUAGAGCCUUUCAAUAAACCUCUUCGGGAGAGA